UUUGACCAUCUUGUGCAUUUAUGAAGAAGACCAAAAGCUGCAAAGGCAAACACUUCCAAUGGCAGAAACUGAGAGUUUGCAUGAUGGCAUUUUCUCAGACGCUGAAUCUGAUGUGUACAGAUGAACUCAGGAGCCUACUAGAGUUGCCAAGGAACUUGUGCUUGAACUGAAGACCAGAAACGCAAAGAAAAUCAGUCAAACCAGUCCUAAAGAAAUGAGGAAUGAACAUGGACUUCUUGUGCCCCAAAAGAAAAGACAGAAAGGUGAAAAGUUUCACAUUUCAAUUUGUAUGUCUGAAUUCAAUGCAGUUAUGUGUGGUACAACAUUGAUGUUGAUCUCUCAAAAGACUUUUCAAGUCCGCAGUUAUAGUUUUUGACAUAUACAUCUUUUUUAUAGCUCCUAAAAUGAGCAAAUAAGCUGUGCAUCAUCUCUGUGAUUUGGGAAGGAAAUGACUGAAUAUGAUGAAGCCAAUUGAUGAAGAUAUCAAUUGAAUGGCCACCGAGUGCAUCACUGCUACCUGAACCCAUCAGUUAUCUUCUGUGAAGACUGCAUUCACAAACCGCUCUACUGCGACAGCUCAGAUGUUACGGCCUGCAAAGUAAACAUCACAGCUAAACAACGAGAGCUAGUUGUGGUGGGAUUCUUUUGGCCAAUAUCCCCAACAAGAAUCAAUGACAUCUAGACCAGGUGGAGUGUGAGGAGGACCGUGAGAGACUCCAGCCAGCCGAGCCAUGGAUUGCUUUCACUGUUACCAUCAGGCAGACGUUAUCACAGAACCUACACCAGCAGACAGUGAGACAAGUUCCUUUCACAGGCAAUCAGACUGAACUGAACUCAUACCAGUAAAACCAUACACACCCCACCAACCUCAUAUGCCCUGCACUCUUAUCAGUUAUGCUGACUGGACUCAAUAUUAUUAUGCACCCUGACAUUCUGUUUGCACUAAUUCAUACCGUGCUUUACUGCAGAGAUGUAUGUGUACUGUGAUUAUUAUUGUUUUCAAUUCAUGCUCUUUGUAUAGCAUAAUUUUUAACAUAUAUUGUUCUCUACCUGAAUUGAGUCCCUUAUAUAUGUGUGUUGCAUAUAUAUAUUCAGAAUUUGUAUUUCAUAUAUAUUCAUGAAUUAAUUAAUUUGUCAUCCAUACUGUCACGCUGCAGUCUGCACCCAAGACUUUCAUCACCUGUAUACUUGUGUUCAUUGUAUUGUGACAAUAAAGAUAUUUGAUUUAAAUUA